CAGUCGCCACGGGAAUACGAAGGGUGCAAGCGUUAAUCGGAAUUACUGGGCGUAAAGCGCGCGUAGGUGGUUUGUUAAGUUGGAGGUGAAAUCCCCGGGCUCAACCUGGGAACUGCCUCCAAAACUGGCUGACUAGAGUACGGUAGAGGGUGGUGGAAUUUCCUGUGUAGCGGUGAAAUGCGUAGAUAUAGGAAGGAACACCAGUGGCGAAGGCGGCCCCCUGGACAAAGACUGACGCUCAGGUGCGAAAGCGUGGGGAGCAAACAGGAUUAGAUACCCCAGUAGUCCCUGUCUCUUAUAC
rnacentral:rRNA from 1 species